rnacentral:rRNA from 1 species
UACGUAGGGUGCAAGCGUUGUCCGGAAUUAUUGGGCGUAAAGAGCGUGUAGGCGGCCCGAUUAGUCCGCUGUGAAAGUCCAGGGCUCAACCCUGGAAUGCCGGUGGAUGCUGUCGGGCUAGAGUCCGGAAGGGGCGAGUGGAAUUCCUGGUGUAGCGGUGAAAUGCGCAGAUAUCAGGAGGAACACCAAUGGCGAAGGCAGCCUCGCUG